AUUGAACGCUGGCGGCAGGCUUAACACAUGCAAGUCGAGCGGAGUGAUGGUGCUUGCACUAUCACUUAGCGGCGGACGGGUGAGUAAUGCUUAGGAAUCUGCCUAUUAGUGGGGGACAACAUCUCGAAAGGGAUGCUAAUACCGCAUACGUCCUACGGGAGAAAGCAGGGGAUCACUUGUGACCUUGCGCUAAUAGAUGAGCCUAAGUCGGAUUAGCUAGUUGGUGGGGUAAAGGCCUACCAAGGCGACGAUCUGUAGCGGGUCUGAGAGGAUGAUCCGCCACACUGGGACUGAGACACGGCCCAGACUCCUACGGGAGGCAGCAGUGGGGAAUAUUGGACAAUGGAGGGAACCCUGAUCCAGCCAUGCCGCGUGUGUGAAGAAGGCCUUAUGGUUGUAAAGCACUGUAAGCGAGGAGGAGGCUCUUUUGGUUAAUACCCAAGAUGAGUGGACGUUACUCGCAGAAUAAGCACCGGCUAACUCUGUGCCAGCCGCCGCCGUAA
rnacentral:rRNA from 1 species